UGAAAGCAGUGGAACAGAGAGAUGCAAGACCGAAUUAUCAGCAUGAAACAGCCUGAAAAAUGCUCUUCAGAAGGCAAUGACUGUAACGUUGAUAUGUGGACAUGUCUGAACAAUCUGGAUCAAGAGACGAUGAUGUAAGUGUAGCAAAGAUGAGAAGAAAUCUAGAGCAAGAUAAUGAAGGGAACCUGAAAUUUAUAACACAUAGGAGCAGAACUCAUUUCUUGCAUCUUUUAGCCAAACAAUUAAAUAUAAGUUUAGUAGUAAAAGAAAAUGUUGUUGAAUUUGCAAAAUACUUCUGUAACACCACAUUGCUUCAGGUUGACUGAAGAGAGCAGGAUUAAUUCUCCUCCAAGAAGUCUGUUGGAGUGGUUGGUUGUUCUGAACUCUUGAUUAAGAACUAGCCCAUUCUGAUGAGAAUUUGUGAAGAAAAUCAUGGCAAUAUAGAUAGAUGGUAUCCAAAGUAGUCAACAUUGGACUAAUGAGAAAUGUAGAAGAUUGGUUUCAGUAUAGUCAGCUUACUUCCAAAGCUUUGGACAAACUGCAGAAAGAUUGCCGCUAUAUUGUUGAUGCUUCUGAAAUUUGGAAAGAACUUUGAGACAUUGUUAUCCAACAACAAAGUUAAAUUGCAGACAGUAAAGAAGCGGAUGGAUCAAUCACUUAGCACACCUCAUUUUCUUGCCAAUAUUCUCAGUCCAGAGUACUAGGGUAGAUGCCACACUGGUGAAGAAGAUGCUGCUAAGACAUGGGCAUCUAAUAAUAACGUAUCAAUCAUGCCAGCCAUAAUUUUGGGGCUGGGCAUGAAGCAUUCAAGCAAUACAUGUUCGUUGAUAUUGUUUUAUAGAAAAUCAUAUCAAUGAACUGAUUGAGGUCACCAGAUAAGCACCUGGAACUAGAGUUUGUUGAAGUGCUAAAUCACCAUUUGACAGCAGUAGCCUCUUCUGCAGGCACAGAUGGACUAUUUUCUUCAUUUGGACUAAUUUAUGCAGAGUUGAGGAAAUCGCUUGGGAAUUAGUUAAGUUUUCGUGUUUAUUCUAUUUCAGUUAAUGAAUAAAAGUGAAGGGGUGGGGGUGUCUUGAAAUUUUCUGGUUUGAAAAGUUUGAAGGACAGCCUAAAUAGUUUACGAGACUGUCUCAUUUUCAAGAGACUUAGGUGAUUAGGAACCACAGUUGCCAAUCUUCACGUGGUAAAUAAGCACCCCAGCUUUCACAAGAAGCCAAAAAUCAAGCUAAUCCCAUUUCAAAACAAUGCCAAAACAAGCCAGUCCCAAAGAACCCCAACAUGUUAUGACUAGAUUUCCUCCUGGCGUGCAGACUGGGAUUGUGGUGGGCCCACUGUGCACCGCAUGGCUCUCUCCCCCUUGCCCCGGCUUUCCGGGAGCCGAUCCAAAAAAAAAAAAAAAAAAAAACUACAAGACCAGCAAGCUG